rnacentral:rRNA from 1 species
UGAGGGAUAUUGGUCAAUGGGCGCAAGCCUGAACCAGCGACGCCGCGUGGGUGAAGAAGGUCUUCGGAUCGUAAAGCCCUUUUCCCACUGAAGAGGAAGGACGGUAGGUGGGGAAGAAGUCUCGGCUAACUACGUGCCAGCAGCCGCGGUAAUACGGAGGGUGCGAGCGUUAUCCGGAUUUACUGGGUUUAAAGGGUGCGUAGGUGGGCUUAUAAGUCAGUGGUGAAAUCUCCGAGCUUAACUUGGAAACUGCCGUUGAUACUAUAGGUCUUGAAUUAUCUGGAGGUAAGCGGAAUAUGUCAUGUAGCGGUGAAAUGCUUAGAUAUGACAUAGAACACCAAUUGCGAAGGCAGCUUACUACAUAUAAAUUGACGCUGAGGCACGAAAGCGUGGGGAUCAAACA